rnacentral:ncRNA from 1 species
GGGAAACCGGUGCGAAUCCGGUGCGGUCCCGCCACUGUGACCGGGUAGUGCCACCGCCAGGUGUGCCACUGGGGCCGCGUGCCCCGGGAAGGCGGCGGGGGCGCGGUGACCCGGGAGCCAGGAGACC